rnacentral:rRNA from 1 species
CGAGACCAAUAGCGAACAAGUACCGUGAGGGAAAGCUGAAAGGAACUUUGAAGAGAGUUCAAAAGUACGUGAAACCGUUCAGAGGUAAACCUGAGAAACCCGAAAGAUCGAAUAGGGAGAUUCAUCGUCAGCGAUGUUGGCUUCGCGACGAUCGCCGCGACGACCGCCGCGGAAGGCCUCAGUCCUGCGGCACGCCGCCAUCGCGUAUGUCCGGCGUUCGUCGUCGUGCACUUCUCCACUAGUAGGACGUCGCGACCCAUUGGGUGUCGGACUACGGCCCGGGUGAGCGCCUGUCCCGUCGCUUCGGCGUCGCGUUGCAGACCCCCGGUCGCCCGUCCGGCUGCUCGGCGGUACUCGUACGGUAUACGCAGGUCGGCAUCGGUCAACGCUGCUUUCGGCCCGUCGCAAGCGCGGUCAGCAUGCCUCCGGUGGUUACGACCUAGCACCGUCCCCGGGCCUGGCCCGCUGCUGGCUGACGGUGCCCCUGAACUGGCCGCCGCGUGUCCCGUGCCUUCUCCCCCGGUAUACGCCGGGUGCUGGGAGCGGUACGGGGCCGCAUUCCUGUCGGCGACGCUAUUGCUCUGGGUACUCUCAGGAGCCGUCUUGUAACGGGGACCAAGGAGUCUAACAUGUGCGCGAGUCAUUGGGAUUUAGAAAAAACCUAAAGGCGAAAUGAAAGUGAAGGUAGGCCUUAGCGCCGAACGAGGGAGGAUGGGCCGCGUUAAGCAUGCGGCCUCACACUUCCGGGGAGUCUCGUUCUCAUUGCGAGAAGAGGCGCACCCAGAGCGUACACGUUGGGACCCGAAAGAUGGUGAACUGUGCCUGGUCAGGACGAAGUCAGUGGAAAAUCCGAUGGAGGUCCGUAGCGAUUCUGACGUGCAAACCGAUCGCCGGAAUUGGGUAUAGGGGCGAAAGACUAAUCGAACCAUCUAGUAGCUGGUUCCCUCCGAAGUUUCCCUCAGGAUUGCUGGCACUCGGCCGUUCCUCGGAACGUUCACGAGUCUCAUCUGGUAAAGCGAAUGAUUAGAGGCCUUGGGGCCGAAACGAUCUCAACCUAUUCUCAAACUUUAAAUGGGUGGGAUCUCCGGCUUGCCCGAAGCAUGAAGCCACGAGAUUUCGGGUCAGAGUGCCAAGUGGGCCAA